ACCAAACAGCUAGCCCCACCCCAUAAAACCAAAAAAUCACCAUAAAUAACCCCAAAUACACAACCCAAUACACCAACUAAAUCAUUUUUCCACCCUAGUACGGGAGACAGAAAAGGACACACGGAGCUAUAGAAAAAGUACCGCAAGGGAACGCUGAAAGAGUAAUGAAACAAUCCAGUAAAGUACAGAAAAGCAGAGAUUAACCCUCGUACCUUUUGCAUCAUGAUUUAGCCAGUAAGCCCAAGCAAAGAGCACUUUAGUUUGACCCCCCGAAACUAAGUGAGCUACUCCAAGACAGCCUAUUUUAGGGCCAACCCGUCUCUGUGGCAAAAGAGUGGGAAGAGCUUUGAGUAGAGGUGACAAACCUACCGAACUUAGUUAUAGCUGGUUGCCUAGAAAUUGAAUAUAAGUUCAGCCCCCUGCCUUCUUCAUUCACACAACUCCUAAUGCCCCCGGUUACCCGAGAAGACAGGGGAGUUAGUCAAACGGGGUACAGCCCAUUUGACCCAAGAUACAACUUUUUUAGGAGGGUAAAGAUCAUAUUACCAAAGGGAAAAUGUUUUAGUGGGCCUAAAAGCAGCCACCUAAACAGAAAGCGUUAAAGCUCAGACAUAUUAAUAACCCCUAUAAUCCGGACAACCCGCUCUUAACCCCCUACUUCCCACUAGGCUGUUUCAUGCAAACAUGAAAGCACCAAUGCUAAAAUGAGUAAUAAGAGAGCACCGACCUCUCUCCUAGCACGCACAUACAUCGGAACGGACCCCCCACCGAACAUUACCGGCCCCAAACAAAGAGGGCAAUGCACAACCAACAAACAACCAGAAAACCCCCCAAGAAACAACCGUUAAGCCCACACUGGCGUGCCCCCAAGGAAAGACUAAAAGAAAAAGAAGGAACUCGGCAAACACCCUAAGCCUCGCCUGUUUACCAAAAACAUCGCCUCUUGUAAUUUAAAAAUAAGAGGUCCCGCCUGCCCAGUGACACUAAGUUCAACGGCCGCGGUAUUUUGACCGUGCAAAGGUAGCGCAAUCACUUGUCUUUUAAAUGAAGACCCGUAUGAAUGGCAUAACGAGGGCUUAACUGUCUCCUUUUUCAAGUCAAUGAAAUUGAUCUCCCCGUGCAGAAGCGAGGAUAACAACAUAAGACGAGAAGACCCUAUGGAGCUUUAGACACCAGAGCAGCCCUUGUCAAACACCCCCAGUAAAAGGGCAAAACCAAAAGGACCCUACUCCCCUGUCUUUGGUUGGGGCGACCGCGGGGAAUACAAAACCCCCAUGUGGAAUGGGAGAACCCCUCCUGAAACCAAGAGCCACGGCUCUAAGCAAUAGAACAUCUAACCAAAAGAUCCGGCAUGACCGAUCAACGAACCGAGUUACCCUAGGGAUAACAGCGCAAUCCCCUUCUAGAGUCCAUAUCGACAAGGGGGUUUACGACCUCGAUGUUGGAUCAGGACAUCCUAAUGGUGCAGCCGCUAUUAAGGGUUCGUUUGUUCAACGAUUAAAGUCCUACGUGAUCUGAGUUCAGACCGGAGUAAUCCAGGUCAGUUUCUAUCUAUGAGAUGUUUUUUUCUAGUACGAAAGGACCGAAAAAAAGAGGCCCAUGCUAUAAGUAUGCCUCCCCCUCACCUAAUGAAAUCAACUAAAUUAGGUAAGGGGGCAUGACUCCUCCCGCCAAAUAUAAUGGCUU
rnacentral:rRNA from 1 species